rnacentral:rRNA from 1 species
GACGAACGCUGGCGGCGUGCUUAACACAUGCAAGUCGAACGGUAAGGCCCUUCGGGGGUACACGAGUGGCGAACGGGUGAGUAACACGUGGGUGAUCUGCCCUGCACUUCGGGAUAAGCCUGGGAAACUGGGUCUAAUACCGGAUAGGACCACUGCCUGCAUGGGUGGUGGUGGAAAGCUUUUGCGGUGUGGGAUGGGCCCGCGGCCUACCAGCUUGUUGGUGGGGUGAUGGCCUACCAAGGCGACGACGGGUAGCCGGCCUGAGAGGGUGACCGGCCACACUGGGACUGAGAUACGGCCCAGACUCCUACGGGAGGCAGCAGUGGGGAAUAUUGCACAAUGGGCGCAAGCCUGAUGCAGCGACGCCGCGUGAGGGAUGACGGCCUUCGGGUUGUAAACCUCUUUCAGCACCGACGAAGCGCAAGUGACGGUAGGUGCAGAAGAAGGACCGGCCAACUACGUGCCAGCCGCCGCCGUAACAC